GACGAACGCUGGCGGCGUGCUUAACACAUGCAAGUCGAACGGACAGGCCCUGCUCUUGUGGGGUGCUCGAGUGGCGAACGGGUGAGUAACACGUGAGUAACCUGCCCUUGUCAUUCGGAUAACUUCAGGAAACUGGGGCUAAUACCGGGUAGGAGCUCCUGCUGCAUGUUGGGGGUUGGAGAGUUUCGGCGGUUGGGGAUGGACUCGCGGCUUAUCAGCUUCAUGGUGGGGUAGGGGCUUUCAAGGGCUUUGACGGGUAGCCGGCCUGGGAGGGUGAACGGCCACAUUGGGACUGAGAGACGGACCAGACGCCUACGGGAGGCAGCAGUGGGGAGUAUUGCGCAAUGGGCGCAAGCCUGUGGCAGCAACCCCGCGUGCGGGAUGAUGGCUUUCGGGUGGUAAACCGCUUUCUCCUGUGACGAAGCGUGAGUGACGGUAAUGGGUAAAGAAGCACCGGCUAACUACGUG
rnacentral:rRNA from 1 species